CAGCAGCCACGGUAAUACGUAGGGUGCGAGCGUUGUCCGGAAUUAUUGGGCGUAAAGAGCUUGUAGGCGGUUUGUCGCGUCUGCUGUGAAAGACCGGGGCUUAACUCCGGUUCUGCAGUGGGUACGGGCAGACUAGAGUGUGGUAGGGGAGACUGGAAUUCCUGGUGUAGCGGUGAAAUGCGCAGAUAUCAGGAGGAACACCGAUGGCGAAGGCAGGUCUCUGGGCCAUUACUGACGCUGAGAAGCGAAAGCAUGGGGAGCGAACAGGAUUAGAUACCCCUGUAGUCCCUGUCUCUUAUAC
rnacentral:rRNA from 1 species